AGGCGUCUGUGCUUGCGCUUCCGCUUCUCUUGCAUCUCUCCUUGGUUCAACGCACCACCACCAUUGCAGCAUCGGCAUGGAUGGCUUUCCUUCGCCAAUGUGGGUGCAGCGCUACGUGCUCAACUUCAAUGCCGUGGCGCUGGUGCUGCUAGCGGUGCAGAACGCUGGGUAUCUAGUCUUGAUGGGCUACUAGGAGCAGCUUGGGAAAGAGUACCUUCUCGCCGCCGGCAGCGCCAAACCGAAGGAGUACGAGGUGCGUGCGGCCACCUUCGAGGCUUCGCACUUUCUCGCGACGAAGGAACUGGCGAAGCUUUUUCUCUCUCUCCUGUGGUGCGUCGUGGACGAAGCUCGGGCAAUGCAGCAGGAGCGCUGUUCUGCCGAAGCACUCACGACAUCAACGGCCGCGUUGCCAGCUGAGGGUUCCGGGCGGAGCAAUGUCGCAGCAUUUGCCCAGACACCCAACUCCGUCGCGGAUGCCUCGUUUCAUCUCUCCCACAAUCUCGACAACGUCGCAGAGGACAUGGACGCUGAGUCUCUCGAUCACACUGUGCGGCUGCGGGUUCUCUUUGCCCGAAAGAGGUUCGCUGCUGUAUUUCUGAGCCGCAUGCGCCAUGCCAUCGGGCUGGACCACAAGUACAAAGAGACGCUGCUCAUGAUUGCGCCCGCCAUCGUCUACGCUAUCCAGGGGCUGCUGCUCAUCUACUCCCUCAAGCUGUUGGGCCCAGCCGUGUUUCAGGUCCUGUACCAGGUGCGCAUCCUCUUCCUGGCAGUCAUGAUGCGGGUCGUGCUGGACUUCCGUCUCUCGCCCAUCCGGUGGGGCGCACUGGUGGCGCUGAUGCUUGACAUCACGCUGGCACAGAUGGGUGCGCAGAGCACGCGAGCGGAUAUGACAACCAGUAAGGCAGAUGACGCUGCACGAUCAGAGAUGGAGAACGCUGCGGCGACCGAAAAGACCUCCAGCACGUGGUCAAUGGAGGGUACACUGGCUGCGCUCGCUGGCGGCUUCCUGAGCGCGUUCUCCGGUGUGUUCAUGGAGUUCGUGGUGAAGAAGCGCGGCAACCAGUUCCACCUGUCGGCGCGCAACACCCAUCUCGCGUUCUUCUCGGUCGUGUACUUCUUUAUUGUGUUCUUGUGCGAGAUCUUCCAGCCGGAAGAGGGGGCGGGCGGGCUUGAUGAGUUCACAAGCACGUUCUUCGACGGCUUCGCCAGGCUGGUGUGGUUUCUGGUGGUUCUGCAGGCGAUUGGCGGGAUCCUCGUGGCUCUGGUGGUGCGCUACUGCGACAACAUCGUGAAGUCGUUCUCGACGGCGUUCGCGAUUGUGCUGAGCGGCACGGCGUCCGUGUUUCUGUUCCACACGCCGCUGAACGGGACGUUUCUGCUGGGCUCCUUCCUUGUGCUCACCUCCAUCACCAUGUACACCGCGAAGAAGUAACGACUCUUCGAGCUGGGCGACAGGUGGGCGAGAUGAGAUGCAUCAACGCUUCUCAGUGAUCGGCAGCCCUUUCUGGCAUGUGUCUAUGCAGCCUAUGGGUUCUUGUGUGCAUGCGGAAAGCUUCGUCGCUCCCGAUGGAGUACGCGCACCCCUCAGCACGCAGCAUUCUCGGUGUCCAGUGCCCCACUCAUACUGUCUGCGGAGAAGCCAGGCAAGCCUCCCUAUCCCCUGCCCAUGCCAAAACACUUCCGCUGGCGACAGGGCCAGGCACCCGCGACGUGGGGAGGCCAAGGCGAUGUAUCGCUGCUGACGUCAGCGCUCAGGUCCUGGACGGUGUUGCGCCGUAGCGACCUGCGACAGUGCACGUGCUUGCAGUACGCAUAUGGUAGGCAGAGUGUCAGCGUGACGCGAGCGCAUAUCCCACGCACCCCUGGCCCUCGCUGCUGUCUGCAGAGGUGUGGGGGGCCUGAGCGCCCCUCCCCCCCCCCCGAGGGGAAUGCACCAGGUGGCGACCAGCAUCGUGUGCGUGCGGGGAGAGUUUUGUGCAGAGGCCGUGCUCUCAGAUGGCUGGGUCGGCGCACUGCUACAACGCCUGUGUCUACGGCAUGCUUCGCACCACGCGGAUGAGGCCUGUGGCAGGGGCCGAGGGACGUAUGGCCUCGUGCUGUAUGGCAGAGCAACGCACUCUUGUUGGCAGGAAAGGAGGACGAAGAAGAGCGACCUCACCAGCUUCGACUACGACUUCAUGCAAAUGAAAGCCGCGCGUUGCUGCGCGUGUGUGUGUGUGUGUGUGUGUGUCGCUCUCGCUCAUUUUCUGCCAUCCGCUUCCCUUCUCUCUCUGGCUCACAUGAAUGCACAUGCGCGCGCCAUCUUCAGAAUGGGCACCACGCACCCAAACGCCGUAACGAUUUGCUGACGCUGCUAUCAUAGAUAUAUAUAUAUAUGAGCGUAUAUACACAGGUUUUCGGCGCAAAACUUCUUCUGCGUCUGCUGCGCGCCGUGCCCCGGCGAUUUUCCUGUACAUUCAUAUUUUCCUGUGUUGCCUUCGCCUCUCGUUUCGCGCCCUCUUUCUCGCUGUUGCUUCCUUUGGGCCCUGGAAGAGGCCAUCGUCGCCUCGCCCGGCCUCCCAACCACCUCCGCCCCCUCUCCAGCGCACCCUCGCGUACGCAGAAAAAGGAAGAAAGCGAAGAAGGAGUGCAUCCGCGUCGGUGCGUGCAUACGCACACGCAGACGGAAACGCGUGCAAAGUGGACCAGGCCGGCGAGGAAGCCUUCGGCUUGCCAAACUCUUUUUUGUUGCUCUCCAUCAUCAUCCUCACUUGCGGCGUAG
rnacentral:misc_RNA from 1 species